rnacentral:rRNA from 1 species
GAUGAACGCUAGCUACAGGCUUAACACAUGCAAGUCGAGGGGAAACGACAUCGAAAGCUUGCUUUUGAUGGGCGUCGACCGGCGCACGGGUGAGUAACGCGUAUCCAACCUGCCCAUCACUUGGGGAUAACCUUGCGAAAGUAAGACUAAUACCCAAUGAUAUCUCUAGAAGACAUCUGAAAGAGAUUAAAGAUUUAUCGGUGAUGGAUGGGGAUGCGUCUGAUUAGCUUGUUGGCGGGGUAACGGCCCACCAAGGCAACGAUCAGUAGGGGUUCUGAGAGGAAGGUCCCCCACAUUGGAACUUGGACACGGUCCAAACUCCUACGGGAGGCAGCAGUGAGGAAUAUUGGUCAAUGGGCGAGAGCCUGAACCAGCCAAGUAGCGUGCAGGAAGACGGCCCUAUGGGUUGUAAACUGCUUUUAUAAGGGAAUAAAGUGAGAGUCGUGACUCUUUUUGUAUGUACCUUAUGAAUAAGGACCGGCUAAUUCCGUG